UAAGUUUAUACAUUAGGUUUGCAAAAGAUAAUCAUGGUCUUUCUGAAGUAUGAUUUAGUCUAUCGAUGACUAUUUUGAACAAUAAAUACUCAAGUAUCAUGCCAUGGUAGCAAUUAGCAUCGAAUUUCACUUUCAUCUCAUCUUCAUCCAUACAAUAUAUUCAAUCAAAUCGAACCCAUUCUAGGCUUCUUUUGAUUCUUUGUUCAACGUAUUCAAUAUCUAACUUUAAUUUUCUUUUUGCUGUUCCGCUCAAUCAAAGCUUUUCUUCUUAGGAAUAUGGUUUGUGAUUGUGGAAUUGGGGGAAAUCGAGAAUAAUGAAAAGGGUUUAUCAUCUAGUGUUGGUCUGUGUUUUUUACCAGUCAAUUGAGCUGCUUCAUGGAAAAGCAUCGUUAGUUUUUAAUCAGAGUUAACCCAUUAUGUUGUUGGACCAAAUGUGCUCUAUUGUAAGGGACUAAAAACGGUUAGAGGUAUAUUUAAAGGAUAAAAAUUGACCUGUCCAUAAAUAAGGGAUAAUUUUGGCUAAAAACUAGUACCUUUUAAUGAUUCCGUCAAUGACUAUCGCUUUUGAGUGAUUUGACCUUUCAUUUUGAAGUCAAGAGAAAAGGAGAUUUUUAUCCCAUUUAAAAGUUAUAGGGGAUAAUAUUUCAAAAGAGUUUACACUGAAUGAGACGCAUGAAAGUGUUGUACAUUCAUAUGAUAAUGAGAUUCUAUAUAAUCUCUCAUUUCUACAUUUCAGGUGUAAGUUUUUACCAAAAUUGAAAUCCUAAUUAAUGGUAUCCUCCUUUUCCAUUUCUCUCUGUCUAUAAUCACUCAUUAUAAAGUCACUCUCUCUGUGUGUGUGUGUGUGUAUUCUAUCAAUCUUAAGUAGCAAAAGAUGGCAGGGGCUCAAUGUUGCGAGAACCCACCAACAUUGAGCUCAAGUAGCGGAGUUGGGUCCGUUUUAGAAAUUGGAGGCUUCAAAGCAUACGUCUCUGGUCCUUCCUCUUCCAAACUCGCCAUUCUUCUCGUCUCCGACGUUUAUGGUUAUGAAGCACCAAAUCUAAGGAAACUUGCUGACAAAGUUGCAGCUGCAGGAUACUAUGUGGUAGUUCCUGAUUUUCUUUAUGGUGAUCCUUAUAAUCCUGAAAAUACAGAGAAGCCUUUAUCAAUCUGGGUACAAUCACAUGGAACAGAUAAAGGAUUUGAAGAUGCAAAAAAAGUUGUUGCUGCUCUCAAAGAUAAAGGUAUAUCUGCAAUUGGGGCUGCAGGAUUUUGCUGGGGUGCAAAGGUGGUUACUGACCUAGCUAAGUCUGACUACAUUCAAGCUGCAGUGCAAUUGCAUCCAUCAUUAGUCAAAGUUGAUGAUAUUAAAGAGGUUAAGGCACCAAUAGCUAUUUUAGCAGCUGAGAUAGAUAGAAUCUCUCCUCCCGAGCUUAUUAAGCAGUUUGAGGAGAUUUUAUCAUCAAAACCUGAGGUGGACAGCUUUGUCAAAAUAUUUCCUAGUGUUAAGCAUGGGUGGACAGUAAGAUACAAUGUUGAAGACCAAGAGGCUGUGCAGAGUGCUGAAGAAGCCCAUCGGCACAUGUUAGAUUGGUUUACCAAGUAUGUCAAGUGAGUGCAAAGGUACAGUCAGAAGGGAAGUGGAUGUAGCAGUCUCUGAGGUCCCCAUUCCUUGAUCUGACUUGACUAUAACUAAUCGAUAAUACAGGGAUCAGGAGCUGCUGCAUUUUGUUGAUCAGGAGCAGUAGUAUGUACUUCUUCAAGAAGAGGGGGAUGCUUGUUGUAAGAUAUGAGUUCUGCUGCUUUCUUUCUCAAUUUGUUGUUAAUGGUACUCGUGAGAACAAAGGGAUCAAAUCUUCCUUUAAUGGUUCCCAACUUUGUUUUUGGAUCAAACAUAACAUCAAAUACACCUAGCAUAAGAGUCCACAUCAUACAUAACAUCAAAUACACCUAGCAUAUAAGGAGGUUUUAGGCCUUCUUGGCCUUUUACAAUGUUGAAUUUAAGAAAAUGUCUUUUUUAGAUC